ensembl:lncRNA
GGUCAAUAGAGACCCAUAGGAACCAAUAGAAGAUCCCAGGAGAACCCAUUGUCCAACCCCUUCCAACCCCUUCCAACACCAGUAUGGACCAGUAUAAACCAGUAUAAACCAGUAUGGACCAGUAUAGACCAGUAUAGACCAGUAUAGACCAGUAUGGACCAGUAUGGACCAGUAUGAACCAGUAUGGACCAGUAGAAACCAGUAUAGACCAAUAGGGACCCAUAGAGGUCAAUAGAGACCCAUAGGAACCAAUAGAAGAUCCCAGGAGAGCCCAUUGUCCAACCCAUUCCAACACCAGUAUGGACCAGUAUGGACCAGUAUAGACCUGUAUAGACCAGUAUGGACCAGUAGAAACCAGUAUGGACCAAUAGGGACCAGUAUGGGC